CAGGAAGGCAGGCAGGCAGCCCAGACCAGAGCAGGAAGGCAGGCAGGCAGCCCAGACCAGAGCAGGAAGGCAGGCAGGCAGCCCAGACCAGAGCAGGAAGGCAGGCAGGCAGCCCAGACCAGAGCAGGAAGGCAGGCAGGCAGCCCAGACCAGAGCAGGAAGGCAGGCAGGCAGCCCAGACCAGAGCAGGAAGGCAGGCAGGCAGCCCAGACCAGACCAGAAAGGCAGGCAGGCAGCCCAGACCAGAGCAGGAUGGCAGGCAGGCAGCCCAGACCAGAGCAGGAAGGCAGGCAGGCAGCCCAGACCAGAGCAGGAAGGCAGGCAGGCAGCCCAGACCAGAGCAGGAAGGCAGGCAGGCAGCCCAGACCAGAGCAGGAAGGCAGGCAGGCAGCCCAGACCAGAGCAGGAAGGCAGGCAGGCAGCAGGUGGGACCGGUAACCCGCUUGUGUCCCCGUGGCGUUUCAGUCUGAGACAGGCGCAGAGCGGCACACUCCUUCAAACCAGCCUUUCUUCUUUACAACACCUCAUAAAAAGAGACUUUUGAUUUCUGGGCCUUGAUGGAGCCAGCCAAGCCAACAGCUACUGGCACAGAGUUAACUCCCUUUCUGUUCCUGCAUCCCACCACCAGACCAGCCUGUCAAACCACACCGAGUUUCAAACAGCCAUACUACCCACCACCACCGGCGGCCCCCUUCAAGCCCCCGGGGCGGCCUAAAGAAAGACCUGCGGAGGAGAGGGGGGAACCAACAGAAGUGGGCAUUUUACAAAAGGAACGUCUCAGAAAUGAAUCAGAUGUAAUCAUGCAGUGUAACAGGCUAUUCUGAAGGCAGAGGCAGGAGGAAGCAGACAGACAAGUCCAAAUGUGCAGAUAAUCUCCCCCUGCAUCCUGUGGUGAGCACCAGCCGACUGUUCAUCUGGCCACAAGCACCAUGAAAGAGAGCAGUCUUCUUCAGUGACUGCUGCCUACAGUAACCCAGAUCUGGCAGUGAUACAGGCCUCAGCUAUUACUCAGACAGACUGACAGCGUUUGGAAGGAAACAAAUAUUAUUUGAACCCACCGUGUCUGUCUGGUGGUGGGGACAGGAGACAUUCGUCUCCAGACUGUUUAAAAAAAAAUGCUAUCCCUGGGCCGUCGUCUGUCCGCCUAGCCUUCCUCUCACCACCUGUAGUGCUACCUCUUGUCUGUCUGUCUGUCUGUCUGUCUGUCUGUCUGUCUGUCUGUCUGUCUGUCUGUCUGUCUGUCUGUCUGUGCAACUAGCGCUACUGCAGCUCAUUCGAUUGCUAUUGCUUCCUCCACACAACAAUAGAAACCUGAAAAGUAGAAGUAGCCCACCGUGGCAGGACGUGAGGGACAAAAGAGGACAAUGUAAACAACAACAGUACUACUCAUGGCUCCACAACUACCGACGACAUUUCAGAAACCCUGCCCUGUUUGGGGUAGAUCACACUUUAACAUUAGCCUAGUCCCAGAUUUCUUUUGUGUGUGCUGGUCUUGCGAUCUCCUGAGGUCACUGUCAUACUAUAGGAGUUGGGCUAUACAGCACAAACAGACCUGGAACCAGGCUAGCUCUGCUUACAUUACAAUGACAUUUUUGGUCAUUGAGCAGUCGCUCGUAUACAGAGCGACUUUACACUGUUCUUAGCCCAGAUUCUCCGUACAUACAGUACUGGUCAAAAGGUUUUAGAACGCCUACUCAUUCAAGGGUUUUUCUGCAUUUUUACUAUUUUCUACAUUGUAGAAUAAUAGUGAAGACAUCAAAACUAUGAAAUAACGCAUAUGGAAUUAUGCUUAUUUGAGCUGUUCUUGCCAUAAUAUGGACUUGGUCUUUCACCAAAUAGGGCUAUCUUCUGGAUUCCACCCCCUACCUUGUCACAACACAACUGAUUGGCUCAAACGCAUUAAGAAGGAAAGAAAAUCCACAGAUUAACUUUGAAGAAGGCACACCUGUUAAUUGAAAUGCAUUCCAGGUGAUUACCUCGUGAAUCUGGUUGAGAGAAUGCCAAGAGUGUGCAAAGCUGUCAUCAAGGCAAAGGAUGGCUUUUUGAAGAAUCUCCAAUCUAAAAUAGAUUUAUGUAACACUUUUUGGGUUGUACAUGAUUCCAUAUGUGUUAUUUCAUAGUUUUGAUUUCUUCAGUAUUAUUCUACAAUGUAGAAAAUAGUCCAAAUAAAGAAAACCCUUGAAUGCUUAGAUGUUCCCAAACUUUUGACCGAUUGUGUAUGUAUCUUUUUUUUUGUCUCUGUCUGACUAAAACUGCUGCUGUCAAAGACAGAGAGAGACUGCUGUCAACAUGAUUUGCGUUUGCGAGAGAGUGGUAGCAAUCUGUACGUUUUGGUACUGAGAAUAAAGUUGCGUCUUAAAUUGCACCCUGUUCCCUAUACAGUGCACUACGUUUGACCAGGGCCCCUAUGGGCCCUAGCCAAAAGUAGUGCACUAUAUAGGGAAUAGGGUGCCAGUUAAGACGCAGCCUAAGUCGUGUUUUGACUUUCCCCUGCAUGCAGUUGGCCUGACUGAUCCUGGCACCAGUCACCAGUCACUUCAGAUGGCAAAACACAGCCUGAGAAACUUCUGCUUUGAGCAACAGAAAAUAGAGAAAUGACGUGUUUGUGUACGUGAGGCUCUUACUUUUCACUUUAGCUUGGCAACCACCUGACUAAGGGAAGGGGUUGCCCAACGUUCACUACGGGUGGGGAGAUUCAGACAAUGACUCUAUAUGAUGACAGAGCUGAGAACACCUCACUCUGUCUGCAGAGGUCCACUGGUUAAAAAGUCAAAUAAGUUCCCUUUUGAUCUAGCCAGGUCUCAGAUCGGUUUGUGCCGUUUAGCCAGUGACAAGACCAUAGAACACGAGUUGGCUAAACAGCACAAAACAGAUCUGGGACCAGGCUACCUGAAGUAACACCCGUGAGUCACCUUGAGACGAAGAACUGCCCCAUUAACAAGUUGAACCACAAUAGCGUUUUAUUUUGAACCAACACAGCUUUCCUAAAUAGAGCAUGAAUCCGGUUUAUAACUCCAAAGUGAAAGCUAGCUGUCUGACUCCAGCACGACAGCACACAUCCAUUCAAAAAGAUGGAUGUUUCCAGUAGAGGAGUGAGAGGAUUGAGCCAGGGCACGUGAAGUUCUGUUGUUGGCUUCAAACUGACAGACACAGACAGAGUUCCUAGGGGACUGCAGAGACUGGGCUUUGGUACUGGGCCAAGGCACACCCUCAGAUGCACACGCGCACACACACAAGCACAUGCCUUCUGAAGUACUGAAAGGCGCACCUUUUUAACGCAGAUACGCAUGACAACACAUGACCGUUCUUCAUCAGUGACCAUACUUCCAAAACACACACACACCGCAGAGUUAACAGAGUGGCUAUAUGGCACAGUACCUGGCAGAGUGGCUAUAUGGCACAGUACCUGGCAGAGUGGCUAUAUGGCACAGUACCUGGCAGAGUGGCUAUAUGGCACAGUACCUGGCAGAGUGGCUAUAUGGCACAGUACCUGGCAGAGUGGCUAUGUGGCACAGUACAUGGGGUGCCCCCCCCAGUCCAGCCCAACCAAAGCCCUAGUCACUCUCCAACACUCUGCUAAGGUAAUGGGAAUAAAUACAUUCUAACCACUGUGUGUCUGCUGCGUAAACGCAACCCAUUCACACAGAGUGGAGUCUCCCUCCAUCUCCUCUCGCUCUCAUUCUCUCCGUGUCUGGCCUGAGCCUCUCAUAACAGUGGGCCCUAGCAACGGUGGAGCCAAGCCGUCAGUCAAUAACACGCUGGUAACAGAACCUCUCCCUUCACACUGAGCUCACACAUGGUUCCAGACGGACAAACACACACACACAUACACAGUUGCACGCAAGCACACACACACACACACACACCAGCCCGGAAGCCCAUUGCCCACGCCUCAGCAGAGUGGGGAAAGUGCCUCGCAGGCAAACACUGCUAACCGUAAACAAGCACAAUGCCAACAGGGAUUGGUGGCAGCGAGAGACACUUCCUUUGUGCCCACCAACCAACCAUACUGUUUGUGAAAGCAUUUUGAGGACCACAAUGGAAAUAAGUCCUUGACUUUCCUUAGCACCACAUUGGUUCGCAAACCAUUGAAUCUAAGCUCUUUGAAAGCCCUCACCUUCCUUCCAUCCUCAUACUGUAUGAGCCAUGGGGCUGGGUACCAAAUGGCAGCCUAUUACCUAUUCCCUAUAUAGUGCACAUGCAGCACUAUCGCAGAAAUAGUGCACAAUGUCGGGAAUGUGGUGCCAUUUGGCAACAUAUUCCCUGUCGGUUCAGACUAUGUGGGUAGGAGACUCUGGGACACAAACGUUUGAAUUCACUUGAGGUUGAGGUUAGGGUUAGCUGUGUAACUUGAGGUUGGGGUGUAGCUGCGUAACUUGAGGUUGGGGUGUAGCUGUGUAACUUGAGGUUGGGGUGUAGCUGUGUAACUUGAGGUUGGGGUGUAGCUGCGUAACUUGAGGUUGGGGUGUAGCUGCGUAACUUGAGGUUGGGGUUAGGGUUAGCUGUGUAACUUGAGGUUGGGGUAUAGCUGUGUCACUUGAGGUGGGAGCUACCAUUGUGGUCCUGUGGCUGACAGACAUAAUCACUGCUUCUAAGAAAUCUGGUUCAUAAACAACAUAUAUAUAUAAAAGCAGAGAUUUCAACCCACACGGACAGGAAGAGAAAGCCUGGUCGCAGAUCUGUUUGUGCUACUGCAUUGCCCUCUCGGAUGGUCAUUUUGCUGCAACAAUGACCCAUAGGAGUUGGUGAGACAGCACAAACAGAUCUGGGACCAGAUUGGGAAGAGGAGAAUAACCUAGCUCAUCAACAACAACACCCAUAAAAACACUGAUUUCAACCCACAUGGAUGGGAAGAGAUAGAGAUAGUCUGGUCCCAGGACUGUUUGUGCUGGUAUCAGCUGUCCUCCAUGUUCGGCUUGACAAUGACCAUAGAAGUUAGCAAGACAACACAAAAAGGAAACAGGGCAUCUGUCCCUUUUGCAUCCAUGUGGGUUGAAAUUAGUACUUGUGUAGUUUAUGUACUAGAUUGUGUAGAGUGUAGUGAUCACGUAUAAAGAGAAAGCUAGCCAGUGCAUGUGAGGUGACUGGUGCCCAUCCAGGUUAUGUUGAUUAGACUAACAGACAGAUCUGUCCUAUUUACAGUUUACAGUGUGGAAGGGCUAUAAGCUGUCAGGACAGUGUGGAGCUAGAUUCCAGCAAGCCACUGUGGAAUCUAGCCUUGGCACGUCCUGGCUAACCUAACCCUGUCUGUGGGUCUGACACAGCAGUCCCAGCGCCAGUGGUUUUGGGCUACGGGCACACACACACAAGCAAGCGCUUACACAUGCGCGCGCGCUAUGCACACACACCGACACAUGCGGACACAGGUAGAUUUACACCUUCUCAUUCACACCCAAGUCCAACACCCACCCACACACAGCCAGACAGACAGGCCUUACAAGAAUUUCUAGCCAGCAUUGGGUUCGGGAUGUGUGUUAUUUUAGCCUGCACUUUUUUUGUCUAAAAACUCUACUAUUCCUUCCCUGAACAAAUAGAAGUUUAAGGGCAGUGUAUGAAGGAUCAGGCCUAGGGGUGUGCAUGUCUGUGUGGCACACAAUGGCUGUUUGAAAUUCAAAAGGAAAAAUGACGGUUUUUCUUUUCCCUCGGUCGUAUCAGUUACGCUGAAAUGACCUGGCAAUCAGCUGACUCUUUAAGCCUUUUAACUUCCUACACUUCCAUUUGACGUGAUGCUGACGGGAUCAGCAGGGUUUAUGUCUGUAUUACAGCACUGACUAGUCCACAUUCCUGCUGCUGCCCUUCCAUGCAAUGUACCCCUCACCCCACCCCAAGUCUCUCUCACGCACGCGCACACACACACACACACACACACACACACACACACACACACACACACACACACACACACACACACACACACACACACACACACACACACACACACACACACACACACACACACACACACACACACACACACACACACACACAAUCGCUCCUAACCAUCCCUCCUCACCAACCAGCCAACCAACUAUCUAUUCACAGUCCUGCCCCCUCAGGCAUUCUAAUCUUUUAAUUGGAUCUUUUGUAAUUCUAAUGAAAUAACUGCAGAGUUCCAUUAGCAAGAGAGAAUGAUCUGUAGUUCCGUUAGGACAGAGAAGGAUCUGAACUGCUCGGUGUGACAGUGGUCACAGGGACCACUUAGCAGUCUGUGGCUACGUCUCGAAGGGCACAAUAUUUCCUAUAGAGUCCGCCUGGGCCCUGGUCAAAAGCAGUGCACUAUAUAGGGGACUACGGUGCCAUUUGGGGCACAUCCUGUCUUUUCCUCCCAGCUAGGUAGUUAUAGGACCUGUUUCAUUUAGCUUAUCAAUUCACAUUGAACAGUACAUUAAGGGAAAACAAAGAGCUGUGUGUGUGUGUGAGUGUGUUUGUGCGUGUGCGAGCGUGCGCGCGCGCGUGCGUACAAUGAGGAGAGAGAAGAGAGAUCCAAUCGAAAACAAUCAACAUGUGACCAGUUAGACUCGCCCUAUUGGUUAAAAAAAGAAGAGGAAAGCUUUCAAAUAGAACUCUAUCACAUGUAUUACAGCUAAAUUGCUAGAUCCUUCGAUGUGCAAGAACAUGUCGGUAAUGCAAAAGGCGGGGUAUCACUGCUGCGUCAUCCUUCGGCGUCUCAUAGGAAGUUGACUAAUUUAGCUCGUCGUGACGACGUCUGAAUGCGUUAUUAUGGUAUGUCUCCACCAUGACCCUUUUCCUGUCCAUAACAUGUGAGAAAAGGAAAUUGUGUUAUCCUUGCAGCACAGGGACAUAGAAAGUGAAGAAACAGCAGAUGUGCCUUUCAUUCGUACCGUCAAAUAUGAUCCAGUAGGAGUCAUUUCAAAAUCACCCCACCAUUUUCCUUCCCAUACAGCCCUGACGUAUUACUGCAAACUACAUUUACAUCAGACACUUGAAGAGCAGUAGGCUACAAGGACACCAAAUAUGUCGUGGAUCUGACAUUGGCCAGCCCAUAGCCUCUCCGUAACCUCUGACAUUGGCCAGCUCAUAGCCUCUCAGUAACCUCUGACAUUGGCCAGAAGAGAAGAAGGAGUCACCAAUCACCAGAUAGAAAACGGGAACGCGGAUCAUGACCACACACUAAAAGUCCCCUUUGAUUCUGACCAGGCAGACUAACAGCAAUGACACCGCAAGGAAAUCCAAAAUCUACCCCACUGAUUUCCAGAAUUGCCUUCGAGUAACUUUUCUUUAUUAGCAUGGUGUCUGUUUGUCAGAAUUGCUUUUGAGUAACUUUUCUUUAUUAGCAUGGUGUCUGUUUGUCAGAAUUGCUUUUGAGUAACUUUUCUUUAUUAGCAUGGUGUCUGUUUGUCAGAAUUGCUUUCGAGUAACUUUUCUUUAUUAGCAUGGUGUCUGUUUGUCAGAAUUGCUUUCGAGUAACUUUUCUUUAUUAGCAUGGUGUCUGUUUGUCAGAAUUGCUUUCGAGUAACUUUUCUUUAUUAGCAUGGUGUCUGUUUGUCAGAAUUGCUUUCGAGUAACUUUUCUUUAUUAGCAUGGUGUCUGUUUGUCAGAAUUGCUUUCGAGUAACUUUUCUUUAUUAGCAUGGUGUCUGUUUGUCAGAAUUGCUUUCGAGUAACUCUUCUUUAUUAGCAUGGUGUCUGUUUGUCAGAAUUGGAAUAAACGGAUGAUAAUGACGUGACUCAACAAUGAAUCACCGUGUUGCUAAUGUUUGGAUUGCGUAUAGAGAGUUGUGGGAGAAAAUUUUUUCGAUUUAAAAACAAAUAUGAUGUUCAAUCCUUCACUAACUCUGGUUUCAGAGUCCUCCCUAACAAAAUAAGAAACAAACCGAAUAUCUAGGACAAAUGUAGGAACGAGUGUCAUGCUUUAACAGCUCACCGGGAAAAGAGUCAAGGAGUCAUGAAUGUUGUUCAUUUUAUGACAGUAGAGCUGAGUAGAGACACUCAUAGCGGAGUGUCUCUACUUUUGGGGAGUUUAGCUCGUUAGCUCGCUGCUAGCCCCCUGUUUUUGUCCCAAAUGGCACCCUAUUCCCUUCAUAGUGCACUCCUUUUGACCAGGACCCAUACGCCAUAGCAGUGCGCUGUGAAGGGCGUAGGGUAUCAUUUGGGACGCGGACGCUGUGCUCUGCAGCUGGCCAGGCCUAAUGAGAGAGAGAUCAGACUUAAACAUCAAUUCAUCUGCCUCAUUGAAGAGGACAAUGAGGGGCAACUGGUUCAGCAAGGUUAAAUAAAGGUUAAAUAAAAUAAAUAAAA